CCAAAAUCCCACUCCUUCAUCCUUCGUCAUCCCCCUCCUUCCCCAAGUGCCGCCGACGAAUAAUUCCCAUCACAUCCCAAAACUCCCCAGAAAAAUUCAUAUAUAUCUCUCCCCCCCUCCAAGAGCCUUCCUCCUCCGUCGGCCAACUCCGACGAUCAACUCCGCGAGACAAUGCUGCAAGGGGUGAUCUCGAGCUCUCUCUCCCUCUCCAGCUAUCUCGCUCUCGAUCUCUCUCGAUCCCUCUCUCGAUCCACGAGCGAACUCCGCUGAUUUGCAACACCAUCGACCAACUCCGCGAGCCAACUCCGACGAAGCUAACGCAGUGUCUGCGAAUUACGAGGGAGUAGCUUCUCAAUUCAUGAUCCUUGAAUCUUGUUGAGUUAGCUUUGUUAGGAAUAGCAAGUUUUGUGUCUUCAAACAAUGUCAACUUAUUAUGUUCUGAUGUAAGACUUGGAUUUUGAUGGUGUGACUGUUUAGAUUUGUAGACUGCUGGAGAGUGUAUGGUUUUCGCAUUCUCAUGUUGUUUGAACUAAGAUUGUAUGGUUUCAUUUAAAGUAUUUUGUAUGAACUAAGAUUGUAUGGCUAAGACUGCUGGAGAGUGAA